GUGCUCACUUCGAAAGCACAUAUACUAAAAUUGGAACGAUACAGAGAAGAUCAGCAUUGACCUGCACAAGGAUGACACGCAAAUUCGUGAAGCGUUCCAUUAAAAA